UGAUGAUUUUGAAAGUUAACUUGUAUGAUUAUAUCAUGUAUAUGAAAUUGUACUCUCUAGUAACAGUUUUACGUUCACAUGCUCAAGUGAACCUUUAGGUGGAGGAACGGAAACAUCUCUCUUCUUUAUGCUCCUACUCGUCCAGUUUAAUCAUUAUUGUUUUUGGUUCAUGGCUCAAUCAUGGGGUCAUGCUAAUGAAAAAAGUGAUGACAAUAUUACUUCUAAUGCUUUAUCUUCUUUCCAUAUCAGUGAAGGAAGCGGGUAAGAAUGAGAACAAUGUUAUUCUUUUCAACCAUCAGAUUAUCCACCCACAACAGAUUCCAAACCAGACUCUCCCCUUGGGAAUCAAAUUGAAAAAAGAUGCUCAACUUUUUUUGUGUAUAGAGUCUCAGUCAUGGUUGUGGAUUGUGAUCAUUCUUGCCCAAAACAAUUGAAUGAUUUUUUCCCUGCAGAGUUGCUAUCAGCUUAUCCUCAAUAAGUUCAAGAAAUUUUAUGGACUGUAUUAUUUUAUGUCUGAUCGAUUUCUUGUCUGACAUUACAACUACUUAACUGACUCUCCUAAUUUUUGCAGCAUUGGGAAUUUCUUCUUUGCAGGAGCACGUUUAUUUUUUCAGUCUUUAGAUGCUGCAAUAUUUUUGUUUUCACUUGUUUCAGAUAUUCCCUCAGAAAGUAUGGUCCUCCCCGUGAUUUCGACCAAUGACAGGCUUACAUUAGGAUGUGAAUUGUGGAGAAUAUACUAGGAAUUCAAUAUGGCUGUUGUCUUCCGUUUGGGUGGCUACAAUGAAUAUACUUGAAGUUUUAUUUGAUGUGAUUAAAUCACAUGGAAGACUAUGUUAUUGAUAUGUAACUCAUAUCUUGUAAUUUUAUAUUGUAAUUUUAUAUUUUGUAAUGUAAUGUAAUAUGAAUGGAUUGUAUGCAUUAUAGUUUUUCAUUUUUAUAUAUUUUAUUAUUCUGGACAA